rnacentral:rRNA from 1 species
GACAGGCAAUAUAUUAGCAUAAAGACUCGUCUUUAGCGCUAAUUGUUAAAUAUGCUAGUCCUUUCAUGAUUAUGUGAUAGGUGGUGCAUGGCCGUUCUUAGUUCGUGGAGUGAUCUGUCUGCUUAAUUGCGUUUCACUAAGGGCCCAUAAAUUCAAGGUAUGUUAGCAAAUGCUGCUCUAUUGACCCCUAAUAGGCUUAACUGUCUUUAGCGCGUGUCUCUACGAGUUCUUUAAAGCACUGCGCAUGCUGUUGGGUCCUGAAAGCAACGAACGUGACCGCAACGUCUUGUUGCCUCUCUAUAAUACCUUCUUAUUUUUAAUAAGAGUAUUUACCUGAGGCUAUUUUAAAACUAGACGGACCGCUGUUUCUUUCUUAAACCAGAGGAAGGUUGCGGCAAUAACAGGUCUGUGAUGCCCUUAGAUGUUCCGGA